rnacentral:lncRNA from 1 species
UCUACGGAUGUGAUACCAAUACAAACUCCAAUCAUUCAUCUUCUUAACGUUCUCACACCAAUUUCUCUGGACAUUUAUGCCAAUCCCCAUUUGCUUCCCCAAAAAUAUAUUUGUUUCUCCUUCACCAUCUGGUCUCAAUUCCAGAUUUCAUUUGCCACUGUCAUACAGAUACCCUACAGUUGCAGUCACCCAAUCGCCAUUCGGCUUUCGAGCUUCAGAUUCCAGUCGGAGCUCCUCAUCUUCUCUCAAAUGUAAGUAAAAAUAAAGACAACAUUGCAAGAUUUUUUUUUUUUUAAAAUUAUGAAAGGGAAUCUAUUCAUUGUUUGGAGGGUGAUUUUAUGAUUUCAUGCUCUUCAGUUUUUAGCUUGAUUGACUUGCUGUAGUUUUGAUUUGAUUGAUGUUUAUUGUUUCGAUUUCGUGUUGGAAGGUAGACGUUGUUUCCCCAUACUAAUUUAUAAUGCAGAAUUUUUAUUUUUUCUGUUAUUAGCCCAGACAUUUCACUAGCUCCUGUUCUUCUUUACAUUUUUUUGUUGUGAUUUUACGGAAGAUUUUGUUGAAAUAUCGAGAACUUGAACAUAAAAUAUGUUACGAAGAAUACUGAAUAAAUGGCAGGAGUGUGAAGAACUCGGUUUUUUUCUUCAUUAACAACCUAAAAAUAUGAAGCGUUAAUCUUGCUCAUAAAGAAAGCAAGAAAAACUCCCACCAUGGCAAACUUUGAAAACUGAUCUAAUUUAUUAAAACUCUUACUGAUUAUAAAAUAAUAAUAAUAAAGAAAGAUAAAAAUGAUGGCCAUUAAGCCAUAUCCUCCACUACACCCAAUAACAUCUGUAUAUCUAUGAUAAUUUCAAGUAUCUGCAGCGUUCUUUUGUGACAUUGAAAGAUACAAUGAAAACAAUAGUUGAUAGAGAGGUCUUGGUAACAAUAGACACUAUUAAUGAAGAAUUAAAGGUAAAAUAUUGGUCAUAAAACAAUCUAAGUUUUGGAUAAUCUGUAAAUUUUGAGAGCUUUUAUAUUAUUACAGGCACCUAAAAGAAAAAAUUGGAGUCAUAUUAUAUACGUAGACUAAAGAUGGUGUAAUGUGUACCUGUGUGCUUUUUAGUGCCCUAAGAAAAGGGGAAAA